rnacentral:misc_RNA from 1 species
GAAAUGCGAUAAGUAAUGUGAAUUGCAGUAUUCAGUGAAUCAUCGAAUCUUUGAACGCACAUUGCGCCCGCCAGCACUCUGGCGGGCAUGCCUGUUCGAGCGUCAUUUCAACCCUCAGAACCCCUUGCGGGAUCUGGCGUUGGGGAUUGGCAUCCAGCCAGCCCCGAAAUCUAGUGGCGGUCCCUCCGCGACCUCCCCUGUGCAGUAGCGAUACCUCGCAGCGGGACAGCGGUCUGACCACGCCGUAAAACCCCCAACUUCUCAAGGUUGACCUCGAAUCAGGUAGGAAUACCCGCUGAACUUAAGC